rnacentral:rRNA from 1 species
UACGGAGGGGGCUAGCGUUGUUCGGAAUUACUGGGCGUAAAGCGCGCGUAGGCGGACCUGCAAGUCGGGGGUGAAAGCCCGAGGCUCAACCUCGGAACUGCCUUCGAUACUGCGGGUCUCGAGUCCGGGAGAGGUGAGUGGAACUCCGAGUGUAGAGGUGAAAUUCGUAGAUAUUCGGAAGAACACCAGUGGCGAAGGCGGCUCACUGGCCCGGUACUGACGCUCAGGUGCGAAAGCGUGGGGAGCAAACAGG